UUUACAACGUUCCAGAGGGAUCAAGUUAAUUGAGAGCUGAAAUUAUGAUUUCAAAAAUCAUAAUUGAGCAAAAAUCAUAAUUUCAGCUCUCAAUUAACUUGAUCCCUCUGGAACUUUGUCA